rnacentral:tRNA from 2 species
AUCUUUCUAGUACUAAUGCUAGUAUAAGUGACUUCCAAUCACCUGGUCUUGGUUAGAAUCCAAGGAAAGAUA